AUCCAGCUGACGAGUCCCAAAUUGGACUUGACGCGCGUCUUGGGU
rnacentral:hammerhead_ribozyme from 1 species